UUGUCUUCUGUUGCCAUCAGGUUAUGCUGGGCACUCUGAAGAGACUGCCGGUAAUAAACCGGAGGAAGGUGGGGAUGACGUCAAGUCAGCAUGGCCUUUAUGUCUGGGGCUACACACGUGCUACAAUGGCAGAUACAAACCGUCGCGAGACCGCAAGGUGGAGCUAAUCGGAGAAAGUCUGUCUCAGUUCGGAUAGCAGGCUGCAACUCGCCUGCUUGAAGUUGGAAUCGCUAGUAAUCGCGGUUCAGCACGACGCGGUGAAUACGUUCCCGGGCCUU
rnacentral:rRNA from 1 species